rnacentral:rRNA from 1 species
CGUACACUCCUACGGGAGGCAGCAGUGGGGAAUAUUGGACAAUGGGCGCAAGCCUGAUCCAGCCAUGCCGCGUGAGUGAUGAAGGCCCUAGGGUUGUAAAGCUCUUUCACCGGUGAAGAUAAUGACGGUAACCGGAGAAGAAGCCCCGGCUAACUUCGUGCCAGCAGCCGCGGUAAUACGAAGGGGGCUAGCGUUGUUCGGAUUUACUGGGCGUAAAGCGCACGUAGGCGGACUAUUAAGUCAGGGGUGAAAUCCCGGGGCUCAACCCCGGAACUGCCUUUGAUACUGGUAGUCUUGAGUUCGAGAGAGGUGAGUGGAAUUCCGAGUGUAGAGGUGAAAUUCGUAGAUAUUCGGAGGAACACCAGUGGCGAAGGCGGCUCACUGGCUCGAUACUGACGCUGAGGUGCGAAAGCGUGGGGAGCAAACAGGAUUAGAAACCCGUGUAGUCCCAUGAU